AGCAGCCGCGGUAAUUCCAGCUCCAAUAGCGUAUAUUAAAGUUGUUGCAGUUAAAAGCUCGUAGUUGAAUUUCGGGAUCAAAGGAUCGGUCAUGCCUUGGUAUGUACUGGUUUUAUUGGUUCUCACCUUCUAAAGAACCAUAAUGUCAUUCAUUUGAUGUUAUGGGGAAUUAGGACUGUUACCUUGAAAAAUUAGAGUGUUUAAAGCAGGCUUACGCUUGAAUACAUUAGCAUGGAAUAAUGAAAUAGGACAUCAGAUUCUAUUUUGUUGGUUUCUAGGAUCGAUGUAAUGAUUAAUAGGGAUAGUUGGGGGCAUUAGUAUUCAAUUGUCAGAGGUGAAAUUCUUGGAUUUUAUUGAAGACUAACUACUGCGAAAGCAUUUGCCAAGGAUGUUUUCAUUAAUCAAGAACGAAAGUUAGGGGAUCGAAGACGAUCAGAUACCGUCGUAGUCUUAACCAUAAACUAUGCCGACUAGGGAUCGGAUGAUGUUAAUUUUAUAAUGACUCAUUCC
rnacentral:misc_RNA from 1 species